rnacentral:rRNA from 1 species
CCUACGGGAGGCAGCAGUGGGGAAUAUUGCACAAUGGGGGGAACCCUGAUGAAGCGACGCCGCGUGAGUGAAGCAGUAUUUCGGUAUGUAAAGAUCUAUCAGCAGGGAAGAAAAUGACGGUACCUGACUAAGAAGCCCCGGCUAACUACGUGCCAGCAGCCGCGGUAAUACGCAGGGGGCAAGCGUUAUCCGGAUUUACUGGGUGUAAAGGGAGCGCAGACGGCUUUGCAAGUCUGGAGUGAAAGGCGGGGGCACAACCCCCGGACUGCUCUGGAAACGGUAAAGCUGGAGUGCAGGAGAGGUAAGCGGAAUUCCUAGUGUAGCGGUGAAAUGCGUAGAUAUUAGGAGGAACACCGGUGGCGAAGGCGGCUUACUGGACUGUAACUGACGUUGAGGCUCGAAAGCGUGGGGAGCAAACAGGAUUAGAUACCCGUGUAGUC